rnacentral:rRNA from 1 species
CAGCAGCCGCGGGAAUACGAAGGGGGCUAGCGUUGUUCGGAAUUACUGGGCGUAAAGGGCGCGUAGGCGGCCAUUCAAGUUAGAUGUGAAAGCCCUGGGCUCAACCUAGGAAUUGCAUUUGAUACUGUUUGGCUUGAGUUCGGGAGAGGUGAGUGGAAUUCCCAGUGUAGAGGUGAAAUUCGUAGAUAUUGGGAAGAACACCAGUGGCGAAGGCGGCUCACUGGACCGACACUGACGCUGAGGCGCGGAAGCGUGGGGAGCGAACAGGAUUAGAUACCCCAGUAGUCCCUGUCUCUUAUAC